AACUGGAGAGAGGCAGUAAUAAAGCAGCUGACAAUACAUGGAAAACAUAUUGAACAGUCAACACCUUCUAUUCACCCAUAGAAUGAUUCCUGGGCGGGAUUAGCAGAGAAGAGACAAGAGGGAGUGCAUAUAUCAUUCACUGGGGGACAGUAACGUGCCUUAUGGAGAUACAGUGAAUUGCCUGUUUCAUGGCACUAAUCUGAAAGCAUCCUUGAAUUCAAUUCAACAGCGUGACUGCCAGACAGCUCUUGAAACCAACAUUAUUCACCAUAGCCAAGAUGUGGAAGCAACCCAAAUGGCCGUCAAUUGAUGA